CUUUUUUUUUCUGACAGACUGUAGUGAAUGCCACCAUUGCAAAUGCAGAAUCUGCCCAAGAUUUCAUUGAUAACAACGUGGAGAGUGAAGUCCAAUCGUCUAUAGUCUCAUACAGUGACAGAGUACUGGGUUAUCCAGAGCAAUUUGUGACAUAUGUUACUUACCAGCUGGAGAACACAAUUGGAGGCUGUCGUCCAGUUUAUAACCUGUGGAAUCAAGCAGUGAAUACUCUCUGCAUCGGAAUACUUCGAUCAUUUAACGGCCUGU